UAGAGUGCGGAAGGGGCAACUGGAAUUCUUGGUGUAGCGGUGAAAUGCGUAGAUAUCAAGAGGAACACCUGCGGCGAAGGCGGGUUGCUGGGCCGACACUGACGCUGAGGCGCGAAAAGCCAGGGGAGCGAACGGGAUUAGAUACCCCGGUAGUCCUGGCCUUAAACGAUGAAUGCUUGGUGUCCGGGGUUAGAUAGUCCUCGGGUGCCGUCGCUAACGCUUUAAGCAUUCCGCCUGGGGAGUACGUGCGCAAGCAUGAAACUCAAAGGAAUUGACGGGGACCCGCACAAGCGGUGGAGCAUGUGGUUUAAUUCGACGCAACGCGAAGAACCUUACCUAGUCUAGAAUGCUCCUGACAGCCCUAGAGAUAGGGUUUCUUGGGUAAAACCAAGCAGGAUGCAAGGUGCUGCAUGGCUG
rnacentral:rRNA from 1 species